rnacentral:lncRNA from 10 species
CAAAAGGAGUAAAUCAGCAUGUUUUCAAAGUUGGACUGGAGAAAAAAAAGAGAGAGAAAGAAAGAAAAGAAAAAUACAGAAAGAGGAAAGCUUGGUAAAGAAGGGGUCAGAAGGAAAUGAAACCAGAAGGCCUGCCCUCCUAUAGAGAGAGCCAGAUGAACAAAUUAGGCUCUACCAAAAGGAGAGAUUUGGUGGAUCCAAUUUUAUCCGAAGUUUAGACUUCAGAUUCAUGCCCCCUCUGCAAAGUAGAAACAAAGCUGAUUCUAUUUGAAAAAUAUAGAAAACAAAAGACAUAAAUAAAUAACCUUAAAAAUUCUUGGCCAAAUAUCACUAAAGUUAGACUAAAAAGAAGGUAAGCUUUUAACUUUGUAAAACUGGAGAAAACUGAAAAAUCACUGUGUAUCACAAGAUUAAAACAAUAACAACAACACAAUGACAGCUCAAGAAGCAGGUGCUGGGUUAUAGUUGUAUAAUCUUUUUACAUGUGGAAUGCCUGCUGGUAAAGGGGGAACCUUCAGGGGCUUAGGCUUCCACCAGCUGCCUUCUGACGGAUCUGGCAGCAGAUGGAAGCCUGAUGCUCUCCAGCCUUCUCCUGUCGCACCCUGCAUGUGAGAGUGGGGGCCCAGGCUAUGGGAAGGAACCAGAGAGGAGGGCAAGCAGUGGCUGUAUUUCUGCAUGGAGAGGUAAGAAUCUCUACAUUUAUUAAUAAGGAGGAGAAAGGAGAGAAAAAAUUCCCAAGUGAGAAGCUUCAUUUUGUAAAAACAACUUAUACUGAGCUCUAGAAAUUGAAGGGGGAAGUAAACAAAAAUUUUCAGUUGGAAACAUUCUUAUUUAUGUUUGUUCUCUACCAUAUUUAUUCCAGAACAACCAGAUUACUCUAGGGGAGGAAUAGCAAAUAAAGCAAUUUGUGAAUCUUGGAAGUUAUGUUGGUCAGUAGAAAAUCUCUGUGUGAAGUAAUUUAAAUACUGCUCCUGAAGAAUCUUUAAGAGUCAUAACCUAGGGCCAGGUACGGUGGCUCACGACUGUACCUGGGAGGCUGAGGUGGGCGGAUCACUUGAGGCAAGGAGUUCGAGACCAGUCUGGCCAAGAUGCUGAAACCCUGUCUCUACUAAAAACACAAAAAUUAGUUGGGUGUGGUGGCACACACCUGUAAUUCCAGAUAUUUGGGAGGCUGAGGCAUGAGAAUCGCUUGAACCUGGGAGGCAGAGGCUGCAGUGAGCUGAGAUUGCACCACUGCACUCCAGUCUGGGUGACAGAGCAAGACUCUGUAAAAAAAAAAAAAAAAAAAAAAAAGUAAUAACAUAAAAAUCUGUUAUUUUUAUUGUCCAUUUUGUUAUGUCUGGGCAUAAAACUUGGGUUGCUUUUCAUCACUUAUGUAUUACUUCAAAAACAUCAGCUACUAUUUUGAGGUAUAGAUAACAGAUACCUAUCACAUCCAUGAAAAGUCAUUUUCUUCGGUAAUCACCUACAUUUCAUACAGGGGAAAGUAUUUUUUUCUAUACCUAUAAAUAAUAAAAUGAAGUUCUGAUAGAACCGAAUCUUUCUGAGAAUGUGAACAGGCAAUCUUGUGAACAUUUUAACUGGGGACUUUCUAAUCUCUCCAAUUUGUUUCUCCUAUCAUAUAAAGCUUUCCCCCUCCCCUCAAUUUAAGAAGGAAUUUGUCAUGGAAACCACAGGCCAGAGCGCAUCAGCAGAGUGACUAUCCACUAAAGAAAUCCUCUCAUUUUUCAUGUAAUGGAAACUUCCAAGAAAGGGAAGUGUAUACUCAAAUACUACUCUUUCUCCAAAAGAAAUCUGUUCUGAUUCUCUGGUAUACCUCUAACGAAAAUGGAACAAAUGAUGGCUACUUAUUGAGAGAUAAUUACUCCACAAGCAAUCGGUCAGAUCCUUUCUCAUAACAAAAUUAGCUCAUUUGUGUAUCCUUUCUACAUAAUUUACUGAGCAUGUUAUGUUCUCCACAGUGCAUUAAGCAAGGGAGCGAGCAGACUGGUCUCGUUUAAGUGAGAAGCUACUUGUGAUUCUAAUUUGACUCAGCGGUUGAUUAUUUAAAGUCUGAUAUUGCCAGCUUUCAAGUGCAUUGCUGGUGAUGCAAAAGUAAUGCCUGAUGUAUCUGGACUCUAAAACUUUUAUUACUUUUGGUUGUUUUCAAGUUACAUGGCAUCCCACUUGGAAAGAAGAUAUACUGUCUAGGAAAUAAUGCAGUACCAAAACACAGUUGACACACACUUACUCCCUGCUAUACUUUCAACCUAGCCUGCCUGAUUCUUGCUCCCUCACCACAGAUAUGUUCACUUGGGAAACGAAAACCUGUCUUUAAUAUGAGUCAACCUAAGAAAGCAGCAUGUGAGGGAUAAAUAGUCUUCUAAAAUCAUGUAAUACGUUUCAAAAUCAAACGUAACUUUUUUGUUCAAUAUUUGAUAAUAUCUGAGCAAU